rnacentral:rRNA from 1 species
UAUGACGUACUUGUACUGAUUGAGAUUUUAACACGAAGUGAGUGGCGAACGGGUGAGUAACACGUGGGUAACCUGCCCAGAAGUAGGGGAUAACACCUGGAAACAGAUGCUAAUACCGUAUAACAGAGAAAACCGCAUGGUUUUCUUUUAAAAGAUGGCUCUGCUAUCACUUCUGGAUGGACCCGCGGCGUAUUAGCUAGUUGGUGAGGUAAAGGCUCACCAAGGCAGUGAUACGUAGCCGACCUGAGAGGGUAAUCGGCCACAUUGGGACUGAGACACGGCCCAGACUCCUACGGGAGGCAGCAGUAGGGAAUCUUCCACAAUGGACGCAAGUCUGAUGGAGCAACGCCGCGUGAGUGAAGAAGGGUUUCGGCUCGUAAAGCUCUGUUGUUAAAGAAGAACGUGGGUAAGAGUAACUGUUUACCCAGUGACGGUAUUUAACCAGAAAGCCACGGCUAACUACGUGCCAGCAGCCGCGGUAAUACGUAGGUGGCAAGCGUUAUCCGGAUUUAUUGGGCGUAAAGCGAGCGCAGGCGG